UGCGCCUCUCUCUUCCCCUCUUCCUCUCUGUUUUUCUUUUCAUUUUGAUUUCCAAAACUUUGAAGCAAGAUCUUGAUCUCAUUUCUUAUCGAAAUUGAGUGUCGUUUGAGGCAAAACGAAGCUCGUGUCAAGCUCUACACAUCCAUACAAGCGAUUUCAGAUUUAGUGCACUCCUUGGAGUUCGAAUCUUAGGACCCAUUUCUAGGGUUUGUGAAGAAAAUUGGGGUUUUUGCUCAAUUAGAGGAACCGGUAAGGAGGUAGUGGAUGCCGAUCUUCCACAAGCUUAAGGAUGACUUGGAGCUCAUUUUGUAUCUUUUGUAUAUCUCCCAUUUUUGUAAGGCCCCAAAAGUGUAGUAAUAUGUAUUUAUUUUUUCAAAACCAUGGUUAGGUAAUAUAAUUAUGUUACUAGAUGAUAUUUUGGAUGUGAGUUUGAUAUCAUGUAAACCUUAUUGAUGCAUGGGGAGAGUAAUACUAGUUUGAGGUAUUAUCGAGGUCA